GCAUUGGUGGUUCGGUGGUAGAAUUCUCACCUUCCAAGCAGGAGACCCAGGUUAGAUUCCCAGCCAACGCA
rnacentral:tRNA from 1 species